rnacentral:rRNA from 1 species
CCUACGGGACGCAGCAGUGGGGAAUAUUGGGCAAUGGGCGCAAGCCUGACCCAGCAACGCCGCGUGAAGGAAGAAGGCUUUCGGGUUGUAAACUUCUUUUAUUCGGGACGAAGCAAGUGACGGUACCGAAUGAAUAAGCCACGGCUAACUACGUGCCAGCAGCCGCGGUAAUACGUAGGUGGCGAGCGUUAUCCGGAUUUACUGGGUGUAAAGGGCGUGUAGGCGGGAGGGCAAGUCAGAUGUGAAAACCAUGGGCUCAACCUGUGGCCUGCAUUUGAAACUGUUUUUCUUGAGUACUGGAUAGG